GUAUUAUUAUUUAUUAUACUUAUAUUUUCUUCUAUUGGCGAAUUUAUUGAUGGAAUUGCAGUACUUUUUAAAAUUCGUCUAUUUGGAGAACAACUAUAAUCAUUAUCAGAAAAAUGUUUAUAGCAUACUCGCAACUUUUGCAUUUCAAGUUUUGAUGAAACAUUUAUGCAUAAACUUUCUAACCACAAUUUGCAACGUUCCUCAUUUUUGGGAAACAAAUUAGAUGGAACGUUCUUCCCAGAAUGGCAAGUAGAGACGCAACACGCUUUUACUAUUUUUAAAGGUUUUUUUUUUCAAUAUUUAGGAGAAGAAUGUAUAAGCACGUCUGAAUAAGACUGUCUUUAAAGAAACCGGUCAUGUAAACAUGAUAAAACAGUCACAUGUGCUCAUAUUUAGUUCAUAUAAGGCGAUUUUUGGCGAUCGUUUGGUACAUGUACCAAACUGUACCAGAACCAAUAAGAUAAAAGUUUACUUAUAUCCCAUUAGUUCUGGUACAGUUUGAUAUGCUUUGGUACAUGUACCAAACGAUCGCCUAUAUUGGGGAUUAUAUUCUAGAGGCGCUACUAACGCUGGUACAAGGAGUUUGGUGGCCCUGGAUCUCAUCAGGAAAUAUGUGUCAAAUUGAGACUAUGGAAUUUGUUCCCAUUAUUGUUACUAGGGUAUGUGGAGGGGUAUGCAAUAUAAAGAGUUCCGAUUUUAUCACUCGUUUUUGUUAAAAGACGGACAGCAAAAAUUUCUGAAACAUUACCGCUCAGUCAAUCGGUGAAAGACAAACUUCUCAAAGAUGAACUAUUAUGUUCUGAUCCAGCAAAAUAAAGCGUGUGAUAAACCAACAUUAUCGCAGCCGCGUUAUAUUCUGCGCAUUUUGGGAAGGAGAUAUACCUUAACUGCCACAGCAUAUAAAUAUUUGGAUAUGGGAAUCAGCGGGACUUGAGCCUUUUGUUGAGAUGAUUCUGGUGACAACAAAGGCAAUGAGAUACCGUUGUCACAUCACACUUGGAUAAUGAUUGAGAAACGUAUGGAUAUCAAGCGACUCCUGCAGUUAGCCACCACUAUAUCGCUAUGAAUUGAUAAUCUUAUAAAACUCGUCAAAAUAGGUAACGAAGGUGCCGUAAAAUUUAUCUUAAAUAACAAAAUUAUGAAACCAUUAACUGUACAAUUUUUACUAAACCUUGAAGAUGUUAUCAAUAAUGCAUAUUUUAAGUUGUCGCAAGAUAUGUAUGUAAUAAAAGAACGAUAUAAUCAAUUUGUAAACUGCUUGCAGCGAAAUAAUAUUUAUAACGAGUGCGAUGAAGUCAAAUUAUUAAAUAAAAUACGUGUAAAAACUUCGCUCGUAGAUUGCGAACUGAUGGCUUAUGCAUUAGACAAUAUUGUAUACGAUGCGUUACGAAAUGAAUAAAUGAAAAAAAUUUAUAAA